UACGUAGGGUGCAGGCGUUAAUCGGAAUUACUGGGCGUAAAGCGUGCGCAGGCGGUUUGCUAAGUCAGGUGUGAAAUUUCGGAGCUUAACUCCGAAACUGCAUUUGAUACUGGCGUGCUUGAGGACUGGAGAGGAGACUGGAAUUCAUGGUGUAGCAGUGAAAUGCGUAGAGAUCAUGAGGAAGACCAGUGGCGAAGGCGGGUCUCUGGACAGUUCCUGACACUGAGGCACGAAGGCCAGGGGAGCAAACGGG
rnacentral:rRNA from 1 species